UACGGCCACAUUAUUUUGAAACACCAGUUCUCAUCCAAUCACCAAAGUUAAGAAAUGCCAAGCCUGGUCAGUAUCUAGAUGGGUGGGAAUUUGGGAAUACCAGUUGCUGUAAG